CCCUUAGAUGUUCUGGGCCGCACGCGCGCUACACUAACGGAGUCAACGAGUUGUCCUGCAUCGGAAGGUGUGGGUAAUCUUUUGAAACUUCGUCGUGCUGGGGAUAGAUCUUUGCAAUUUUCGAUCUUGAACGAGGAAUUCCUAGUAAGCGUGAUUCAUCAGAUCGCGUUGAUUACGUCCCUGCCCUUUGUACACACCGCCCGUCGCUACUACCGAUUGAAUGGUUUAGUGAGGCCUCGGGACUGGCGCGCUCGAGUAGCAAUACACCUGCGCGCCGGGAACUUGGUCAAACUUGAUCAUUUAGAGGAAGUAAAAGUCGUAACA
rnacentral:rRNA from 1 species